ACCUAUGGUAUAAUAGUUUUAUCUAAAAACUGGAGCAAUACACAGAUUAGUAUGGUCCCUGCACAAGGUGGACAGAAAAAUCCAUGAAGUGUCCUAUAUAUUU
ensembl:snRNA U6 U6 spliceosomal RNA